GUGAGGAAUAUUGGUCAAUGGGCGAGAGCCUGAACCAGCCAAGUCGCGUGAAGGAAGAAGGAUCUAUGGUUCGUAAACUUCUUUUGCAGGGGAAUAAAGUGCAGGACGUGUCCUGUUUUGUAUGUACCCUGAGAAUAAGGAUCGGCUAACUCCGUGCCAGCAGCCGCGGUAAUACGGAGGAUCCGAGCGUUAUCCGGAUUUAUUGGGUUUAAAGGGUGCGUAGGUGGUUUGAUAAGUCAGCGGUGAAAAUUUGCAGCUUAACUGUAAAAAUGCCGUUGAAACUGUCGGACUUGAGUGUAAAUGAGGUAGGCGGAAUGCGUGGUGUAGCGGUGAAAUGCAUAGAUAUCACGCAGAACUCCGAUUGCGAAGGCAGCUUACUAAGCUACAACUGACACUGAAGCACGAAAGCGUGGGGAUCAAACAGGAUUAGAUACCCCGGUAGUCC
rnacentral:rRNA from 1 species